rnacentral:rRNA from 1 species
GACGGAGGGGGCAAGCGUUGUUCGGAAUUAUUGGGCGUAAAGGGCUCGUAGGCUGACAGGUAAGUCUGGCGUGAAAUCUCCACCGCUCACCGGGGAGAGGUCGCUGGAAACUGCCUGUCUGGAGUUCGGCAGAGGACCAUGGGAAUUCCAGGUGUAGCGGUGGAAUGCGUAGAUAUCUGGAAGAACACCGGUGGCGAAGGCGGUGGUCGUCGGGCCCGAAAC